UACGUAGGUGUCAAGCGUUGUCCGGAUUUAUUGGGCGUAAAGCGCCCGCAGGCGGCUUGCCAAGUUCGAUGUGAAAUCUCCCGGCUCAACUGGGAGGGUGCAUCGAAAACUGGCAGGCUUGAGGCAGGGAGAGGGAUGUGGAAUUCCAGGUGUAGUGGUGAAAUGCGUAGAGAUCGGGAGGAACACCAGUGGCGAAGGCGGCUUCCUGGCCUGUUCUUGACGC
rnacentral:rRNA from 1 species